rnacentral:rRNA from 1 species
GAGUUUGAUCAUGGCUCAGGAUGAACGCUAGCGACAGGCUUAACACAUGCAAGUCGAGGGGCAGCGGGGGAGCAGCAAUGCUCCUGCCGGCGACCGGCGCACGGGUGAGUAACACGUAUGGAACCUGCCCGCAGCAGGGGGAUAAGCGGAAGAAAUUCCGUCUAAUACCGCGUAACACCGCGGAGGGGCAUCCCUCGGCGGUUAAAGAUUCAUCGGCUGCGGAUGGCCAUGCGGCGCAUUAGCUAGUCGGCGGGGUAACGGCCCACCGAGGCGACGAUGCGUAGGGGUUCUGAGAGGAAGGUCCCCCACACUGGUACUGAGACACGGACCAGACUCCUACGGGAGGCAGCAGUGAGGAAUAUUGGUCAAUGGCCGUAAGGCUGAACCAGCCAAGUCGCGUGAGGGAAGACGGCCCUACGGGUUGUAAACCUCUUUUGUCAGGGAGCAAGAGGCGGGUCGGGACCUGCUGUGAGAGUACCUGAAGAAAAAGCAUCGGCUAACUCCGUGCCAGCAGCCGCGGUAAUACGGAGGAUGCGAGCGUUAUCCGGAUUUAUUGGGUUUAAAGGGUGCGCAGGCGGAGGCACAAGUCAGCGGUAAAAUCGCGGGGCUCAACCCCGCUCCGCCGUUGAAACUGUGUCCCUUGAGUGCGCGAAGGGUAGGCGGAAUGCGUGGUGUAGCGGUGAAAUGCAUAGAUAUCACGCAGAACUCCGAUCGCGAAGGCAGCCUACCGGCGCGCGACUGACGCUCAUGCACGAAAGCGUGGGUAUCGAACAGGAUUAGAUACCCUGGUAGUCCACGCAGUAAACGAUGAAUGCUAUCUGUCCGGCCGGAAUGACGGCUGGGUGGCACAGCGAAAGCGUUAAGCAUUCCACCUGGGGAGUACGCCGGCAACGGUGAAACUCAAAGGAAUUGACGG